rnacentral:rRNA from 1 species
AGGUGAUAUAUUGAAAAAAGGUAUAUGUAAUUAAUAUUAUUUUAAGGAUUACGAAUCAAAAUUUAAAUAAUGAUAAAAAGAUCAAAACUGUAAUAACAGGGAUCAAUCAUAAUCAUGAAAAUGAUAAAAAGAAAAACAAGUGGAAUGAAACAUCUGAGUAACUUGUUAAAUAACCAACAGGGAUAAUAUAAGUAACGGUGAGUGAAAGUAUUAAAAUCUUAAAGUAUUACCAAGAGGUAAGAAUAAAGUAGUUUCCAACUACUAAGAAAUAAAAUUAAAUUUUAGAUUAAAGUACCGCAAGGGAAAGUAAAGAAAUAGAAUAAUAAAGAGCAGUUAUAGUAUAACGUACCUCUUGUAUAAGUGCGACAAGAAGCAUUAAUAAUUAAUGUGGCUAAUAACCACCUAACCUUUCCAUUGGUUAGACCCUAUCUAUACAUGCUGAAGGAGUAAUCAUCAGUUUGAAGCUAUAGAGACAAUGUAACAUUAUUCCCAUUAAAUUUAAUCGGAGUGCUAGGGUAAUAAUUCUAUGAUAAACGAAAGUGAACUUGCAUUGAGGCUUCGUAAAAAAGGGCCCCGCGAAGCGGGGCGAUACCGGCCUACCGGCCGGCAUUGUUAAGUCAAAUCUUUCUUAUACUGGGAUUUGAAAUGGAACAUAUUUAACACGAAGUAAAGCAUAGUAUCUAAGGAAUGUCCGGUAUAUAAUCGGUAAAUUAUAAAUAAUGGAAAAUUUUUGCCAUAUAUGAUUUUAAUUAUUAAUGAACUUGGUAAGCCCUUAGUUUUCUAAAUAUAAUGUUAUAUUUAGUGGUAACAUAUAAAGAUUAAUCUGAAAUUGUUAUAUCGAACUUAGGGUAUAAGAAGAUUCAAAAAGCGAAUGCAGAUUAGUAAUAGAUCUGAUAAAGUUUUAUAACUUAAUCCGAGAGGAUGCAGACUUGAAUCAUUGUGAUCUUCAUAAUUAUUUAGCUCUUUAAGAGCAAUAUGAUAAUCUAAAGCUUUCGGUAGAUUAUGAUAGAGAUCUUGUUAUAAUACAAGUGAAAAUAAUUAUUGCUAAAUAAAAGCCCACAUAGUGGGUAAUUGGCUAAUAUUGUAAUAUUACAAUUAAGUAAGAUUGCAUGAGCCGUAUGCGAUGAAAGUCGCACGUACGGUUCUAAGGGGGGGAAAAACUGAGAGGUUCUACCUAUCCCAAUUGGGCCAGUGAGUUAUAUAAUUUAGUGAAAAAUUGAAUAAAAAUUUUUAUAUAUAAAUAGAAAUAAAUUAAAUUAUAUAGGCCCGAAAGCAAACGAUCUACACAUGUCCAAGUGUAUAUACAACCUAUUUUAGGUUUAUAUAUGACUCAAUAGGUAAUUGUAGCAAUAAUUUCUAAAGAGGUGUGUGUAGCUGUGACAGACAAAUCUGGUUUGCAGAUAGCUGGUUUUCUGCGAAAUAUAUUUUAGUAUAGCCUUUAUACAUAUUUAAACUGGUACAGCACUUAAAUAACUUUGGGGAAUUAGAAUAUAAUUUUAUCAAAAUAUUUAAACCUCGGAAUCAGUUAAUAAUAAUAUAAGGAGUCAGACUUAUUGCGAUAAGGUAGUAGGUCGAGAAGGAAACAACCUAGACUAUUAAAUGAAUGUCCCAAAUAUUAAUUAAGUGAACAAAAUCUAUCCUACUUUUAUUUUUUUAUAAAGGUUGAAAUUAUAUCUAAAAUAUAAUUUUACAUUAUUUUUUCUUCGGAAAAUUUAUACGGGGUAUUAAAUUAUAGACAAUUAGUAAGUGGGUUUGACAAUAAUCAACUUUUAAUGAACAUGUAACAAUGCACUAAUUUUAUAUAUAUAUAUUAAAAUAUAUAUAUUUAUUAAUAAUAGAGAAAAUAUAUCGGGUCUAAAUUAAUAACAGUAUUAUAGAUAUAAUCAUUAAGAUUAUAUGGUAGCAGAAUAUAUAAUGGAUAAUUAUAAAGAGAUUGCUGGCUUGAGUAACGAUAGAUAAUAUAAGAUUAUCCCCUUAUUCAUAAGGUUUUACUAUAAACGAACGGUCCCUAAGAUAAUUAUAGAAAUAUAAAAUUGAUGGGUGAAAGAACAAGAAAAAAAAAAUGAACCGUACUGUAGACCGACACAGGUAUGAUUAGCAAAAAGGGAAUGGGAUAACUACUUUGAAUGAACUCGGCAAAAUAAAUCGUGCGACUGUUUACCAAAAACAUAGCUUAUUGCAUACUAGUAAUAGUAAGUAUAAUAAGUGAUAUCUGCCCGGUGUUAGUUUAAUAAAUAUUAUUAUUUAAUAGAUAAUUUUAUAAAAGACUGAUAAACGGCGGUCUUAUUGUGAGGAUCCGAAGGUAGCGGUGCGACAAGAUAAAUUCGUAAUAAGAAUAAGGUGAAAAUCCUUUACAAUAAAAGUCAUAUUUGUAAACCUAAUUCAACAUGCAUUAUGAGUAAUUAUUUUGUAUGAAGCUUGAAUGACAACGGCUAUAAACUUUAUCUGAUAUAAGUGAUCUGGUCUAGGUUAGAACGACAUGAUUAGUUUAUCAAAAUAGUGGAUUAAAAUCUCGUUAUAGGAAAGUAACAUGAUCAGUUUUUGGUUACUAUAUAUGAUUUAAAUAAUAUCGACGCUACGGAUAUUAUUAUAUGACUUAAUAAUAAAAAAUCAUCGGGAUAUAGCUAUAAUCUAAAUCGUUCAUUAAAGUCUUAUUACGGAAACUUGGUAAGCCUUAUACAUACCUAUAUUUUAUAGGAAGUAAUAUAUAAAAUUAAUAUAAUGGAAAUUAUUAUAUAGUGUAGAAGGUAAAGGAUAAAUAUAAAAAGCGAAUGAUUUUAUGUAAUGUAAAAUAUAGAGUUAAAUAACUCAUUCUGAAAAGAAGCUAACUUAUAUAUAAGGCCAUAAAAAUUUUUAUGGUUUGAGCCGUAAGCAGUGAAAGUUGCACAUACGGUUCUUAAGGGGGGAAAGCUUGAGAGGGCCUACCUAUCCUAACAAAUUCAUUGACGUAUAAUUGACGUCCUGCAUGAAUGAAUAUACGAUGCGAUAACUGUAUCCAAAGUAGACUCAGUGAAAUAGCAAUUGCGGUGAAAUUAGUACUAUAAUAAAUAUAUUAUAUGCCGGGUUGGUGUAAAUCCAACUUUAUAGUUUUAAUAAUGCCGGGCUACGGCCGGUAUGGCCCCGCUUCGCGGGGCCAUGAUAUAUUAAAUGUCUUAAAUGAUAGAUAAGUAUAAUAAAUAAGAAUACAAUCUAAAUUAUACUUACCCCCUUAAAUAUAAGGGUAAAUUACAUAUAGGCAAUAUGUAGUUUAAUCACUAUAAAUAAAAAGGUGAAAACGGUUAAUGACAUCUUAGUUAAAGACCGUCGGCAGUUGUAUAUGUCGCUACAGACUGGUUCACCGAGGUUAGACUGAAAUGUCUGUCUAAAUGUACAGUCGGAUUCUGUAAUAUAAUAUUUAUAUUAUAUAGAGGUGAAAGAUGUAUAAAAAAUACAACUUAUUAGUACUUAAGUAAGAAACCUUUGUAGGUCAAACCUACUUAAAUUAAUCAGAAUUGGAAGAUGCCGUAUAUCCGUAGGUUGACAAAAAGACCCUAUGCAGCUUUACUAUAUCUUUAUUUUGAUUUUUAAUCAUAAUAUAUUUAUGGUUAGCCUUUUUUCAUUUAUUUCAGCAGAUUAGGUUAUAUUUAUAUUUUAAAUCAAAUGAGAUACCUAUAUAAUUGAAAAAAGAAUCUAAUUAAUACAGUCAUAAUUCCCGUCCUUUCGGACGGGCAUUCUAUAAUAUAGAAUAUUAGUUAUACUAAUUGACUUAAGUUUAACUUAUUUAAGAAAGAGUAAAGAGGUUAGUUUCGAUGGGGCGUCGACAUCAGCGAAAGCAUCUGAUGUGUCUAAUAACAAUGAUCUUGAUUAAUCAAGACUAAAUGUUUAAUUAAAUUUUUUAUUUAAUAGUAAAUUACGUACAAUAAUUCUAUAUGGUAAAUAGAAUAAAAGAUUAUAAGUAAGGAUAACAACAUAAUUGUGCGAUGAUAAUAACACUAACAAGUGGAAUUAGUACUUACGUAGAGUGUAGUGAACAGGCAUAAACAAAUGGUAUGGAUGUCGAUAACGGAUUAAAGUUACGCUAGGGAUUAAUUGUUAGUUCCUUUAUAUAGAAAUAUAUAUUUAUCUACGCUUUAGUUAGAUAACUUUCAUUUGAAAGAUAUGGCCGCCUUUGGCGGGAAUUGGGUGAAUUACAUAGAACUCUUUAUAUAUAAAGACAAUAUGUAGCGAAGCAUAUAUUAGUUAAAUUUUUAAGAUAUAUGAACGUUCAACGACUAGUAAUUGAGUAAACUAACAAUAAUAUUACCACGAGCGCCCAAUACCUAUCAAUUAUCCCCCCCGCUUCGCGGGGGGAUGAUUAUAUCCCCUGAGGAUAAAUUAUUAGGUAAAGAAAUAGUCUGAACUAUAUAGUAAUAUAUAGAUGUUGUUAUUAAAAAAACAACAAAUAACAAAAUUGAACAGGGUAAUACCGCGUGAGAGUUGAUAUCGUCAGCGGUGUUUGCCACCUCGAUUAAUAACGAUAGUCGAGUUUAAAUAGGUUUAAUUGCAAGAAGUCUAAAAUAUAUGACAUAUUAGUUUGAUAUAUAAAAUGAUGAUUUGCAGCGAAUUAUUAUUUAUAUAAAUAAUAUAUAUAUUAUAAGAAUAAUAAACGUUCAACGACUAGUAGGUGAGUAAAAUAACAAUAUCCUACCACGAAAUACCUAGAAAUAUAUAUAUUUAUAUUUUAAGAUAUAGUCUGAACAAUAAUGAAAAUUAUUGAAGUUAAUAUUAAAUAAGUUAACGAUAACAAAUUGGUCGUCUAGACUCGUCCUCCUGGUCGCAGCAACUAGGUAGGGUAGGACUGUUCGUCCUCUAAGGAGUUACUUGAGAUGGGUUAAUUACGACGUGAGUCAGUAAUGAUUUUAUCAUCUAUGGAUUUUUUUCUUAUCUGUUGCCUUAAGUGUACGCAAGGAUAAUAAGGUACAUUCCUAUGGUUAAUUAUAAUAUUUAGCUAAGAAUGUUGUGUUUACAUAUUGAAUGCAUAUCAAAUAUUAAAUCCUUCAGAUAAGUUUAUACAUUAUAGACUAUAAUGUAUUAGUUAAUUUGUUAUAUUUGCAAAUAUACUAAUUUAUUUACUCAUAUUUUAUGAGUAUAAAAAAAACAUAUACCU